UUCCUGUUUCAAAUUCAUGGACAGCAGCACCGGGUCUGAUUUUCUCAGGGGGCCAAAAUGCCUCCUUAAUAGGGGCCAUAAGCUUAUGUGCUGGAAUGUGGACUAGCAGUUAAAGAGUACAAUGUACAGUUCCUCAGGUGGAUGACUGUUGUAAAACAUUUUCCUUAGAGGUUUCUGCUCUCAUUACAAAUUGAGGAGUGUACUCCAAAAUGAUGAACUACGCCUCAUGUCUUGGUUUGGAUUUCCCCCAAAUCAGACCCUGUAAUGGUUAAUUUUAUGGAUCAACUUAACUGAACCAUGGAGUGCCUGGAUAUUUGGCCAAACUUAUCCUGGAACCUUGGGGAGAAAGUAUUAUUACUUCCAUUGAACAGAUGGGGAAGCUAAUGGUUGAAGAGAGGAAGUAACUUUCCCAAGCCAAGGAGAACUCAAGGUAACAAAGAAGGAACAACAGAACACUCUCAUUUCCCAACCUCUAAUGAAGUAAUGGAUCAAAGUCAUGAUCAUCAAUAGCUGCUAAAAACAAUA